CGGAAAUGUCCUCCUGCAGUGUUAGAGGCAGGACCUCAAUGGUGCAUCACUUGGAACUUGAGAGAGCAAGUGCGCCUUCUAGACCUGCAGAUUGAUACAAACAAUUAAUUGACUAUGGAUGAUUUGUGCAAUGGUUUGUGGUUACUGGUUUGUAUUUCGCUUUCUCACUCAGUCGAGAGACCAUGGAUGAAUUGCAAGAAUGAACCAGAUGGGCAUGCUCUUCUUAUAAAUAUGAUGACCAUUGACAAUUAUCUCUUGGCUAUUCCUAUUCUGGUGUAUUCUAGAUGAAGCAGAUUUGAUGAAAAAAUUAUAUCCAG